rnacentral:rRNA from 1 species
GUUGAACGCUGGCGGCGUGCCUAAUACAUGCAAGUCGAGCGAAUGGAUUGAGAGCUUGCUCUUAUGAAGUUAGCGGCGGACAGGUGAGUAACACGUGGGUAACCUGCCCAUAAGACUGGGAUAACUCCGGGAAACCGGGGCUAAUACCGGAUAACAUUUUGAACCGCAUGGUUCGAAAUUGAAAGGCGGCUUCGGCUGUCACUUAUGGAUGGACCCGCGUCGCAUUAGCUAGUUGGUGAGGUAACGGCUCACCAAGGCAACGAUGCGUAGCCGACCUGAGAGGGUGACCGGCCACACUGGGACUGAGACACGGCCCAGACUCCUACGGGAGGCAGCAGUAGGGAAUCUUCCGCAAUGGACGAAAGUCUGACGGAGCAACGCCGCGUGAGUGAUGAAGGCUUUCGGGUCGUAGAACUCUGUUGUUAGGGAAGAACAAGUGCUAGUUGAAUAAGCUGGCACCUUGACGGUACCUAACCAGAAAGCCACGGCUAACUACGUGCCAGCCGCCGCAGUAA